rnacentral:rRNA from 1 species
UACAGAGGGUGCGAGCGUUGUUCGGAAUUAUUGGGCGUAAAGGGCGCGUAGGCGGUGCCACAAGUCACUUGUGAAAUCCCCGGGCUUAACUCGGGGCCUGCAGGCGAAACUGUGGUGCUGGAGUAUGGGAGAGGUGCGUGGAAUUCCCGGUGUAGCGGUGAAAUGCGUAGAUAUCAGGAAGAACACCCGUGGCGAAGGCGGCUCUCUGGGACGGUACUGACGCUGAGACGCGAAAGCGUGGGGAGCGAACAGG